UGGGGAAUCUUGCGCAAUGGGCGAAAGCCUGACGCAGCCAUGCCGCGUGAAUGAUGAAGGUCUUAGGAUUGUAAAGUUCUUUUGCCCGUGACGAUGAUGACGGUAACGGGAGAAUAAGCCCCGGCUAACUUCGUGCCAGCAGCCGCGGUAAUACGAAGGGGGCUAGCGUUGUUCGGAAUUACUGGGCGUAAAGCGCGCGUAGGCGGUUUUGCAAGCCAGAGGUGAAAUGCCUGAGCUCAACUUAGGAAUUGCCUUUGGGACUGCGAGACUUUGAGGACGGUAGAGGUGAGUGGAAUUCCCAGUGUAGAGGUGAAAUUCGUAGAUAUUGGGAAGAACACCGGUGGCGAAGGCGGCUCACUGGCCCGGUUCUGACGCUGAUGCGCGAAAGCGUGGGGAGCAAACAGGAUUAGAUACCCCCGUAGUCCCUGAGCGGGCUGGCAAGGCGCAU
rnacentral:rRNA from 1 species